rnacentral:tRNA from 1 species
GGAGAGAUGGCUGAGUGGUCGAAGGCGCACGCCUGGAACGCGUGUAGGGGUGCAAACCCCUCGAGGGUUCGAAUCCCUCUCUCUCCG